rnacentral:rRNA from 1 species
AGCAGCCGCGGUAAUUCCAGCUCCAAUAGCGUAUAUUAAAGUUGCUGCAGUUAAAAAGCUCGUAGUUGAAUUUCGGGACUAAUAUGUCGGUCGUGCCUCGGUACGUACUGGUAUUUUUGGUUUCUCCCUUCUGACGAACCUUGAUGUCAUUAAUUUGGUGUCUUGGGGAAUCAGGACUGUUACCUUGAAAAAAUUAGAGUGUUUAAAGCAGGCUCACGCUUGAAUACAUUAGCAUGGAAUAAUGAAAUAGGACGUUUGAUUCUAUUUUGUUGGUUUCUAGGAUUGACGUAAUGAUUAAUAGGGAUAGUUGGGGGCAUUAGUAUUCAAUUGUCAGAGGUGAAAUUCUUGGAUUUAUUGAAGACUAACUACUGCGAAAGCAUUUGCCAAGGAUGUUUUCACUAAUCAAGAACGAAAGUUAGGGGAUCGAAGACGAUCAGAUACCGUCGUAGUCUUAACCAUAAACUAUGCCGACUAGGGAUCGGAUGAUGUUAAUUUUUUAAUGACUCA